rnacentral:rRNA from 1 species
CAGCGUUUGACAUGGUAGGACGGUUUCCAGAGAUGGAUUCCUUCCCUUACGGGACCUACACACAGGUGCUGCAUGGCUGUCGUCAGCUCGUGUCGUGAGAUGUUGGGUUAAGUCCCGCAACGAGCGCAACCUCCGUCCUUAGUUGCUACCAUUUAGUUGAGCACUCUAAGGAGACUGCCGGUGAUAAGCCGCGAGGAAGGUGGGGAUGACGUCAAGUCCUCAUGGCCCUUACGGGCUGGGCUACACACGUGCUACAAUGGCCGGUACAACGGGAAGCGAAGCCGCGAGGUGGAGCCAAUCCUAGAAAAGCCGGUCUCAGUUCGGAUUGUAGGCAGCAACUCGCCUACA